rnacentral:rRNA from 1 species
GGUUAAGCGACUAAGCGUACACGGUGGAUGCCCUGGCAGUCAGAGGCGAUGAAGGACGUGCUAAUCUGCGAUAAGCGUCGGUAAGGUGAUAUGAACCGUUAUAACCGGCGAUUUCCGAAUGGGGAAACCCAGUGUGAUUCGUCACACUAUCAUUAACUGAAUCCAUAGGUUAAUGAGGCGAACCGGGGGAACUGAAACAUCUAAGUACCCCGAGGAAAAGAAAUCAACCGAGAUUCCCCCAGUAGCGGCGAGCGAACGGGGAGGAGCCCAGAGCCUGAAUCAGUGUGUGUGUUAGUGGAAGCGUCUGGAAAGGCGCGCGAUACAGGGUGACAGCCCCGUACACAAAAAUGCACAUGCUGUGAGCUCGAUGAGUAGGGCGGGACACGUGGUAUCCUGUCUGAAUAUGGGGGGACCAUCCUCCAAGGCUAAAUACUCCUGACUGACCGAUAGUGAACCAGUACCGUGAGGGAAAGGCGAAAAGAACCCCGGCGAGGGGAGUGAAAAAGAACCUGAAACCGUGUACGUACAAGCAGUGGGAGCACAGAGCAAUC